GUGCCAGCCGCCGCGGUAAUACGUAGGGCGCAAGCGUUGUCCGGAAUUAUUGGGCGUAAAGAGCUCGUAGGCGGCUUGUCGCGUCGGUUGUGAAAGCCCGGGGCUUAACUCCGGGUCUGCAGUCGAUACGGGCAGGCUAGAGUUCGGUAGGGGAGAUCGGAAUUCCUGGUGUAGCGGUGAAAUGCGCAGAUAUCAGGAGGAACACCGGUGGCGAAGGCGGAUCUCUGGGCCGAUACUGACGCUGAGGAGCGAAAGCGUGGGGGAGCGAACAGGAUUAGAUACCCUGGUAGUCCACGCCGUAAACGGCGGGGCACUAGGGUGUGGGCAGCAUUCCACGUUGUCCGUGCCGUAGCUAACGCAUUAAGUGCCCCCGCCUGGGGGAGUACGGGCCGCAAGUCUAAAAACUCAAAGGAAUUGACGGGGGGCCCGCCCAAGCCGGCGGGACCAUGGGGGCUUAAUUCGACGCAACGGAAAGGAACCUUACCAAGGCCUUGAACAUUACCCCCGGAAAACAUCCAGAAGAUGGGGUGCCCCCUUUGUGGUUCGGUGUCACAGGGUGGUUGCAAUGGUUGUCCGUUCGGCCUCGUGUUCGGUGAGAAUGUUGGGGUUAAGUCCCGGCAACGAAGCGCAAACCCUUUGUCCCGGUGUUGCCAAGCAGGCCCUUUGUGGUGCUGGGGAACUCACGGGAAGACCGGCCGGGUCAACCUCGGAGGAAGGUGGGGACGACGUCAAAGUCAUCAUGCCCCUUAUGUCUUGGGCUGCACACGUGCUACAUGACCGGUACAAGAGCUGCGAUACCGUGAGUGGAGCGAAUCUCAAAAGCGGUCUCAGUCGGAUGGUCUGCACUCGAUCCAUGAGUCGAUCGCUAGUAGUCCGAUCACAAUAGUCGUGAUACGAUCCCGACUGACUUCACGUCGUUAAGUCGAUC
rnacentral:rRNA from 1 species